CAUUUGUAUCCACAAACUCGUUUAUUCUCUCUCCUUAUCUUCUAUUCUCCAUUACAUCUUCAUCUAGAUCUGCAGAAAUAGCUCGUCUUCCAUUAAAACUCUACUGCCGAUGAUACUCUACCAAGUACAGCUUCAGUUGUCUGGAAGCACUAUUAUGAGAGAUUUUUCUAAGCGUGAUUAACUUAGGGUAUCAUAGAACGCAUUUGUGAUUAUGAGGAUUUGGUUGUCUUGAUUCAACUGAAUUAGGUUGUCUUGUGAAUUGAAUUUAGAUUGUGUUGUAAACUGAAUCCAGGUUUUAAUGAAGAAUUGAUCUUCGCUGAAGAAUUAUGAUUGUGUUCCCGAUUUUGUUUUGAAAUGUAAACUGAAACAUCUAUUUUUCCAAGGUGGCUGGUGUUGUUGGUAAAUGACCUGCUCUUUUAAGUCAAUUUACAAAGGUGAUCUUAUUCAUACCAUUAUUGCUGCUAGAGCUAAUUUGGAUUUUUUCUCCUGUUGGUAACAAUGGUAAAACAAAGAUUGUGGUUUACAAAAACUAUGAUGAAAUGAAGUAUGUUGUAAGUACAGGAUCAAAUGCUUACAUCUCUAAGCCAUUAGCAGAAACGUCAGAUGAAGACCUUAUGUAAGCUUUUUGAGACUGGUGUUUCGUAACUGGAAUGCGGUGUGUCAUAUAAGAUGAGACAGUUUCCUUUUGCAAUGAAGUCGUAGCGCCGAAUACUCUUGGUUUAUUGAUAUGUUGUAUAUAGGCGAUGAAGUUGAUGCUCAAUUAGACUCGAGGAGGUCAACAUUGAUGGAGCUAGUUCAUAUUGAAUGCCAACUCCAAGGUACUAUAUUUUCAGAGUAUGGUGGUGCAUCCUUUGGUGGCACUACUAAUUAGCUUGUGCGCAUUAUCGCUGAACCGGGGAUGGUUACAACUGAUCUUCUUAUGUCUGGGGCCAUGAUGAAGCAGGUUAAGUUUUUCAUUAACAUCCUGGCAGAACCAGCUGAAGUGGUUACAAAAUGUUCUGUUCCCAACAUCAGAUCCAUCCCUACUUAUGAAGCCCACUUACAUUCGUUUCCUCACUGGGUUGAAACAAAACUCCCAGAUAUCUCAGUUGGAUGUUUGAGAUGGCAAAGAAGCAAGUCUCGAAAGGUACCCAAGGAGCACACAUCAACCUCAGUGCAUCGAAUAUAUUGGACCGGGAGAGUUUAAUUCUAAUGGGAUGCCUCUGGUUCUUUGUUGGCUUCUUGCUUCGACGAUGGAAUAUUGCAGUAGAAGCUGCAGUUAAAAUUCUUGAAUGGACACAAUCAAUAUUCAUCAAUGGAAGUUAGAUAUUGAAUCAGUUUUUCGACAACAUAAGAUGAUGCUUGUCCUACCGGUGAUGAAAAGCAUUCUGUUAAAUUUCAGCUUUGCAUUCGAUGAGCUUGGUCUUCUAAAAUGGAUUCAGAUUAAAUUUUGUAUCAAUAUGUUGUCAUCUUUGUAUGAUUAUUCUUUGGGUCAUGAUAAACUAGGACCACUAUCCAUGUAUAUAUCUCAAGAUAGAACAUUGUACGUCUCUAACUGUGAUACUUGAAGUUCACAUUGUGAAUCGUUUUUUUUUUAUAUAUAAAAUUCUUUGAUGAA